rnacentral:rRNA from 1 species
CUUACCGGGUCCGGACACACUGAGGAUUGACAGGCAAUAUGAAUAUAUUCCUUUUUGUGAAUUAUAUUUUGUUAAAUAUGCUAGUCCUUUCAUGAUUAUGUGAUAGGUGGUGCAUGGCCGUUCUUAGUUCGUGGAGUGAUCUGUCUGCUUAAUUGCGUUUCACUAAGGGCUCAUAAUUAAUUGUAUGUUUCGUUUGCACUCUUUGACCCCUCUUCACGGAGCGUGUGUCUUAGAAAUUGCAGCGUGCGUACUUUUGGGUCCUGAAAGCAACGAACGUGACCGCAACCUCUUGUUGCCUUUAUUACCAAACGCAAUCU